CCAUACAUAGAGUAUCAGCUGUUUUGCGACCAAGUGGCAACACUAAGAUAUGCAAUUUUUCUGCUUUGCACUAUAUUUCAUUAAAUAUUGCUGUGGCUGGAUUCUGUAUAACAGAAAAAGACCAUAGAAGGUGUGGAAAAAACGUGGGUUGCUGUACCUAGUAGUCCCAGCCUCUGUCUUUUUUACCUCGUGGCCGUCAGAGUGACCGGCAGGGAAAAACGAAGUCUGCUUGAGCGGACCCAGUUCUCUAAACAAGGUCAAGCCCAAAGUCAAAGCCUAGUGCAAGUGCCAAGUGCGGCUCAAAGUGAUCAUUGAAUUUGAGUGGACGCGCCCAUUUAUAUAUCGCCAAUACUGGGGCAGCCGUUCGACCAUUUGGAAACGAGCGCCCCCAGUGUAUCAACAUUUUUCGAAACAGUGGUGCAAUUCUGUUGAGGAUUAGCACCACUAGUAUCUACGUAUUGAAACGCUGGUCUAGACGAUACGGAUUGGUUAUUCCCGGAGACCUCUUGGCCACGUGCCCGUACCACCGUUCGGUAGCCGAGGGCAUGGACUUGCUCCUCAAGUAAACCCGAUCGGUGUGCUCUGCAAUCUUCGCCUGGACACGUUCGACCCAUGGGGAUGAGCUGAGUGACUCUUCAAAUGAACCAGUCCCCCCCCACGAGCAAUCCAGUGGGCGAGGGUACCUAACCUCACGCCGCAGAUGGACCGCGGUCAUUGACCCCUGGCAUCGGAAGCAGCUGAUGUUACCUGCGCCCGGUACAAUCGUGUGCCACCUUCAGACCUCGAGUAGGAACUCGGUCUCCAGCCGGGAAGCAUCGAACCCGCAUCGGAUUUAGUUAUAUUCUCUAUCUUUCUUUCGAAAUUAGACCCGAUAUGCGAAACCCUGUUUUUUUUAUCCGCUUUCUGUCUAACAAUGUUCUUUUGAUACGGCAAAAAUGUGCAAAAGCCAAGUAAAUACGGUAUAAACCAAAAGGGAAUUCCUGUCCAUGGGCUAAGUCGAACUUGAACAAAUGAGUAGUGUAUUAAUACCAAUUA